UCCGGCUUGUCGCCGGCAGUCUCCUUAGAGUUCCCACCAUUACGUGCUGGCAACUAAGGACAGGGGUUGCGCUCGUUGCGGGACUUAACCCAACACCUCACGGCACGAGCUGACGACAGCCGUGCAGCACCUUCACAAGCUCCUGGUAAACCAGGUCCCUUCCAUCUCUGGUCGGUACUACUUGCAAUUCAAACCCAGGUAAGGUUCUUCGCGUUGCGUCGAAUUAAACCACAUGCUCCACCGCUUGUGCGGGCCCCCGUCAAUUCCUUUGAGUUUCACCCUUGCGGGCGUACUCCCCAGGUGGCACACUUAAUGCGUUAGCUUCGGCACGGAAGGGGUCGAUACCUCCCACACCUAGUGUGCAUCGUUUACUGUGUGGACUAC
rnacentral:misc_RNA from 1 species